rnacentral:tRNA from 1 species
GCGCUGGUGGUGUAAUGGCGUGGAGCAGUUCUGCCCAGUCAUUAGGAGGUGCGGGUUCAAGUCCCGCCUGGCGCU